UACGGAGGAGGCAAGCGUUAUCCGGAAUUAUUGGGCGUAAAGCGUCCGCAGGUGGCACUUCAAGUCUGUCGUCAAAGACUGGGGCUUAACCCUAGAAAGGCGGUGGAAACUGAAGCGCUAGAGUGCGGUAGGGGUAGAGGGAAUUCCCGGUGUAGCGGUGAAAUGCGUAGAGAUCGGGAAGAACAUCGGUGGCGAAAGCGCUCUACUGGACCGCAACUGACACUCAGGGACGAAAGCUAGGGGAGCGAAUGGG
rnacentral:rRNA from 1 species